UUUAGAGAAAAGGUGAAUUAUUUGGUAUACAUUGUAUUUAGCAUAGAUAGGCAAGAGAAGAGUUAACUCUCAUUUUCACCAGCAACAACAAUGAAACUAUGGCGGAAAAAAAAAUUCUCAAAAUUUUCCCCAAUUUUUUCCCUCUCAAAUUUUGGUUAAAUAAUUAAUGGAGUUCCCUCCCUUAUUCCCCCCACCUAAAAGCAAGAGAAAUGCACAAAACAUUAAAUUGAAGCUCCAAAGUAAAUUUGAGAGAAGCCCUUAUUUUGCGAGUAAUUAAUUCCUGAAAAUUGAGUGAGCUGCAGCUUUAGAAAUGAUAAUAGAAGAAGUUUUGGAGCAAAUUUGUUGGUGGUAGGUGCGGUUGGCUGAAGGGACUAUAGUAAUUUGGGGAACAAAGAUAGUGAGAUGAUUGAGGUAAGUUAUGAUUUUGAUUUGUUUUAUUUUGUACCCAAAAAGUUAAAUUGGUGUUUUUUUUUAACCCAUUAAAUUGGUUUCCUAAAGUUGAGAAUUGGAUUUUGAGAAUUUUUGUGAGAAAUUGAACAGUUUAUUUAGUUCCAUAUUUAUGAAAUGGAUUUCUUAAUGUUGAGAAUUAAAAUUUGAGAGUUAAAUUUUGAGAAAUUGAACAACAUGGUGACAUUUGUUUCUUCUUCAGUAGGCGUCAACAAGUAUAAUUUUCAGUAAUUGAUUAAUUUGUAUUUUAUUUGUAGUUACUUAUCUUCUAGUUAGGCAACAAUACACAAUUCAAAACAUACCAUUAUGUAUGAAUACAAGUGUUGCUGGUACACAUUAUCAUACUAAAGAAAAAAUAUAUCAACAACGUUAAUGUUUGUAUACCAUCUACAUGGUUAAUGGUACAACUGGUAGUACCAACAACCAUACAUGAAAUACUAGUUAGUACAUGUGAACUAUAUAUGCGUAAAAGGUAAAUAAACUACUUACAUAGGAGGAAAUAUCUACUCUCUGCUGUUUCAUGACUUGUGUCGAUCUUGUAGCGGUGUUUUGUGUUUUAUUAUGAUUAGGGACGACUAUGUUUUGAUUACUUUUUGUUUAGUUUGGUUAGGAUUGUAAUGUUGUGAACCAGAACCAAGAUAUGUAGGGGGGCACAUACGUAAGCUGUAGCUUAGAUAGUUGUUCAGACAGUGAUGAAAGUGAACAUUUUGAUUUAAAUGAUGAUUUGAAUAAUGAUGUAUGGGAGGGUUUUGACUUGAAUAAGGACCCUCCUGCUGAAUGUACCAUUACCGAGGAUGAAUGUAGUGUGGAUUUACAUAGUGCAGGCUUAUAGAGUUUAGGUUCACAUAGAUAUGUAGAAGCAGCUGUAGUACCCCCAGAAGUAGGAAUGGAGUUUAGUAAUUGGGAUGACAUGAAUAAUUAUCAUCGUAGUUAUGGGAAGCAAGAGGGAUUUGGUCUUGUGCGUAUAGGUGGUGGAAAGACAAGAUCAUAUAACACUUAUGUUUGGAAGUGUAAUGUAACGGUAUGACAACAUACAAGAGGUGGGUUAAUGGGAAGACGAUUGUGGUUUAUGAUGAGCCAUUUUCGAAGAAGAAGAGUAAAAAAUGCAACUACCUAGUGAUGAUGUAUGGACAAGGCAACAAUGAAAGUGGGUGGCAGAUCAAGAAAUUAGUCAAUGAGCACAAUCACAUAGUGAGUUCCGAGUUGUCAAGACACAUUGCAAUGUAUAGGGUGAAAAAAAUUACUAAGCAUUUCGAGCAUAGGAUUGAAACUGACCAUGCAUAUGGCGCCCUAGUAGGGCAUAUAUUCAACAACUUAGCGGGCCAAAGGUAUGGUCUUAAGAAUGUGGGAUUCACGAAAAAAAUAUUGAUAAUUUGGUGAAUAGAAAGAGGAGGUCGAAGUUAAAAAAUGGUAAUGUCUCGGCUAUGGUGGAGUAUUUUGAUAAAAUGACUGCAGAUAAUGACUACAGGAUAAGGAAGAAGGGUUUCAACUACAAGGGUUUCAGCAACGACAUGGUUUCCAGUCACAAGGUUUUUAGUCCCAAGGGUUUCAGCCACAAGUGUUUCAGCCACACGAGUUUUACUCUCAAGGUGUGGAAUCCCAAGGUGUUCAGUCAUAAGGUCAGAUGGUGAAACAGAAGGGCAUAGUUGUUGUUACGCAAAAAACUUACUGUUUUGGGAAGGUACAAUGUGGUGACUUUUUUGCAGGAAUUUAAUGAUGUUUUUAGUUGGCUUUUGUGUUAUUAAUGAUGCAUUUGUAAUUUUUUCUUCGAGCCACAAACUUCAUGUGCAAAGUUGAUGCUAUUAGUGAAGUGUUGGAGGUGUUGUCGAUGAAUAAGGAGAGGCGGGCGAUAAUCGGAAGAUGUGGCUUUGGUGACCUUUUCCAUAUCAUUAAGUUGUAGAAGGCAAAGGUCUGUCUGGGGUUUGCUUAUUGGUUGAUGAGUAGGGUCGAUGGUGACACCAGACAUUUUGAAAUGGGUUAUGGAAGCUUAGUGCCACUGUGCCCUACACAAUGGCGCUGCAUUUUUGGUAUUCUUGCCGCACGUAAGGAUCUUCCUAGGUGGGUAACUGAUGGUGGUUUUUCUAUUCGUGAAAAAAUUACUAUCUCAAUUAAGGAUUUGUAUGGUGUAAAAUGCAAGAAUGGUAGGUUUAGGAUAUCCGUGGAUAUGGCUGCUGAAAAAAAUUCUAAAAAUGCAUGUAAUUACGAGGAAGGAUCAAGAUCAUUUUAUUAUUGCUUUCUUGGUUGCAAUGUUUGGGGGGCGGUUAUGCCCCACUAGCGGUGGAAAAUUUUUGGCGGCUUCCCUGGCGCCUCUUGUUUGUGUUGGAGUGGAAGCCCGAGAAUACGAUUGGUGCACGAUGGCGCACGAGUGGUUGAUGACAGGUGUUAGGACUUUGCUUUAAAAUUUGAGGCUUCUGGUUAUGCUGCAGUGGUGGGUGGUUGUUCACUUUUCCUCAUGGUUAGUUUUUGUGGUUAAUAUUAGUUUUUGUGGUUGUCACUUUUGUUGUGUUGAUAUUUCAUGGUUUGUCUCACGGAUGUCAGAGAUUGGCAUUAUGCUACAACUGAUAGUUGUUUAUGUAUCAAUUAUUUGCGUAUUUUUGCAAAUGGAGGGUUCUUUUGAGGAAUUCAGUUA